rnacentral:rRNA from 1 species
UACGGAGGGUGCAAGCGUUAUCCGGAUUUACUGGGUUUAAAGGGUGUGUAGGCGGACUUUUAAGUCCGUGGUGAAAUCUCCGGGCUCAACCCGGAAACUGCCAUGGAUACUAUUUGUCUUGAAUAUUGUUGAGGUGGGCGGAGCGGGUCAUGUAGCGGUGAAAUGCAUAGAUAUGACCCGGAACACCGAUUGCGAAGGCAGCCCACUAAGCAAUGAUUGACGCUGAGGCACGAAAGCGUGGGGAUCAAACAGG